GACGAACGCUGGCGGCGUGCCUAAUACAUGCAAGUCGAACGCAGUGGGGACGGGUGCGUAACACGUGGGUAACCUCCCAUCAGAGGGGAUAACACUUGGAAACAGGUGCUAAACCGAUACUGAUGGAUGGACCCGCGGUUGAUUAGCUAGUUGGUGAGGUAACGGCUCACCAAGGCAACGAUGCAUAGCCGGCCUGAGAGGAUGACAGGCCACACUGGAACUGAGACACGGCCCAGACUCCUACGGGAGGCAGCAGUGGGGAAUCUUCCGCAAUGGACGAAAGUCUGACCGAGCAACGCCGCGUGAGUGAAGAAGGUUUUCGGAUCGUAAAGCUCUGUUGUUAGAGAAGCGGUAUCUAACCAAAAAGCCACGGCUAACUACGUGCCAGCAGCCGCGGUAAUAC
rnacentral:rRNA from 1 species